rnacentral:rRNA from 1 species
AUUAGAUUAGCUAGUUGGUGGAGUAAUAGCCUACCAAGGCAAUGAUCUAUAGCUGAUCUGAGAGGAUGAUCAGCCACACUGGAACUGAGAUACGGUCCAGACUCCUACGGGAGGCAGCAGUGGGGAAUAUUGGACUAUGGGCGAAAGCCUGAUCCAGCCAUGCCGCAUGAGUGAAGAAGGCCUUCGGGUUGUAAAGCUCUUUUAGUGAGGAAGAUAAUGACGGUACUUACAGAAGAAGUCCUGGCUAACUCCGUGCCAGCAGCCGCGGUAAUACGGAAAGGGCUAGCGUUAUUCGGAAUCAUUGGGCGUAAAGGGCGCGUAUGCGGAUUAGUAAGUUAAAAGUGAAAUCCCAAGGCUCAACCUUGGAAUUGCUUUUAAAACUGCUAAUCUAGAGAUUGAAAGAGGAUAGAGGAAUUCCUAGUGUAGAGGUGAAAUUCGUAAAUAUUAGGAGGAACACCAGUGGCGAAGGCGUCUAUCUGGUUCAAAUCUGACGCUGAGGCGCGAAGGAGUGGGGAGCAAACAGGAUUAGAUACCCUGGUAGUCCACG